rnacentral:rRNA from 1 species
UGUAAGCGUAUACCAAAGUUGUUGCAGUUAAAACGCUCGUAGUCGGAAUUUGGCAGUUCCGGAUGUGUGCACGUCGUGUGCGCACUUCGCGGGGAUUGCUUUUGUGGUCUUGCGUAGGAUGAGGCACUUUUAUUAGUGAACGUCCUCACGCAACCACUUUUUACUGUGAGAAAAUCAGAGUGCUCAAAGCAGGCAUUUGCCGUUAAUGUAUUAGCAUGGAAUAAUAGAAUAGGACUUGGUUCUAUUUUGUUGGUUUGUUGGGACUGAGUAAUGAUUAAGAGGGACAGUUGGGGGCAUUUGUAUUUCGGUGCUAGAGGUGAAAUUCUUAGAUUACCGAAAGACAAACUGCUGCGAAAGCGUCUGCCAAGGAUGUUUUCAUUGA